GUUUUGAUCCAUCCCUUAAAAAGAAUUACAACUUACAUUGCAAAGUUGUUGGGCACGUGUUGAGAUGUUUUCAAUUUCAUCACACCAUUUUCGUAUAGGAUGUAAUACCUAGCAAAAACGUACGAUUUUGAACUCUAUAGAUUACAAUUAAAUUAUAUAUAAAGAGAAAAAUUAUUUAAAAUCUAAUCUGAUUUCACACCUGACUGUUGCAGCUGUCUUUAUCGUGUAAUAUCGGUAUUUAACAAAGUCUAGACGUAGAAUUGAAUAUGUCACGCUCACCUUCCUACAGUCCUGUUUUAGAUAACAUUGACCAACAACGUAACAAUUUGAUAGAGAGCUCAGAUCCAGUUUUUAAUCCAUUUUACUAUGCUCAAGACCGAGAGAGCUGGUACGCCGAAGUGUCGGCACAGGCAUGUGAGGAGAGUAGACAGCAAGAAAUAGAAAAGGAAAAAUUAAAGAAGAAAAAAAAUAAAUCAAAAUCUUUUAAAAACAAAUCCUUUGUCAUGCGUAAAGAGUCCGGGACCGUUCGCCGAAUAAUAAAAAUAAUUGUACAUGAUGUGGAUGGUCGUCAUAUGGACGAAAUAGACAGUGAUCCAGAUAGUGCAAGCGUCAAUAUACAAUAUUUAGUGCGAAGCGAUAUUGAUGAAAUCAUGAGUGAAACUGAGUAUUUAGUUACUAAAAUAGUUAAAAAGUUAAGUUCAACUUCAUGUAAUUGAUAUUUAAAAUAUAAUCAUUCUAAAUAUUA